rnacentral:rRNA from 1 species
AACGAACGCUGGCGGCAGGCCUAACACAUGCAAGUCGAGCGAGGACUUCGGUCCUAGCGGCGGACGGGUGAGUAACGCGUGGGAACGUGCCCCUUGGUACGGAAUAGCCCCGGGAAACUGGGAGUAAUACCGUAUGGUGUCUUCGGACUAAAGAUUUAUCGCCAAAGGAUCGGCCCGCGUUGGAUUAGGUAGUUGGUGGGGUAAUGGCCUACCAAGCCGACGAUCCAUAGCUGGUUUGAGAGGAUGAUCAGCCACACUGGGACUGAGACACGGCCCAGACUCCUACGGGAGGCAGCAGUGGGGAAUCUUAGACAAUGGGGGCAACCCUGAUCUAGCCAUGCCGCGUGAGUGAUGAAGGCCCUAGGGUUGUAAAGCUCUUUCAGCUGGGAAGAUAAUGACGGUACCAGCAGAAGAAGCCCCGGCUAACUCCGUG